AUGAUUGAAUCGACGUCACCCUGCUCGGCGCACCAUCCCCCUGCCCGUGAAGCUGCCGCGAGUUCUCCAACCAGAAAUACACUGACUCAUCAACUGCCGACUGUUUCCGCUCCGACAAUGUAUUCGCAGAAUCUUCUUCCAUCUGAAUCUGACGCACACGCGACAUCAGCCCCCAGCGGCCGCGCUCCGUCAUCGACCCGCCAUCAGAACAUGACGUCCCACGCCCCGACCAUCCACGCGCGCUCUCCUCCGGAACAACACCGAUGA